AUUGAACGCUGGCGGCAGGCCUAACACAUGCAAGUAGAACGAGUGGCGGACGGGUGAGUAAUGUCUGGGAAACUGCCUGAUGGAGGGGGAUAACUACUGGAAACGGUAGCCAAUACCGCAUACCAUCGGAGGAUGCCGGUGGGGAUUAGCUAGUAGGGGGGGGAAAGGCUAACCUAGGCGACGAUCCCUAGCUGGUCUGAGAGGAUGACCAUCCCCACUGGAACUGCGACACGGCCCAGACUCCUCCGGGGGGCAGCAGUGGGGAAUAUUGCACAACUGGAGCAAGCCUGAUGCAGCCAUGCCGCGUGUAUGAAGAAGGCCUUCGGGUUUUAAAGUACUUUCAGCGGGGAGGCGUUACCCGCAGAAGAAGCACCGGCUAACUCCGUGCCAGCAGCCGCGGUAAUAC
rnacentral:rRNA from 1 species